AGUCGAGCGGUAACAGAUCUAGCUUGCUAGAUGCUGACGAGCGGCGGACGGGUGAGUAAUGCAUAGGAAUCUGCCCGGUAGUGGGGGAUAACCUGGGGAAACCCAGGCUAAUACCGCAUACGUCCUACGGGAGAAAGGGGGCUUCGGCUCCCGCUAUUGGAUGAGCCUAUGUCGGAUUAGCUAGUUGGUGAGGUAAAGGCUCACCAAGGCAACGAUCCGUAGCUGGUCUGAGAGGAUGAUCAGCCACAUCGGGACUGAGACACGGCCCGAACUCCUACGGGAGGCAGCAGUGGGGAAUAUUGGACAAUGGGGGCAACCCUGAUCCAGCCAUGCCGCGUGUGUGAAGAAGGCCCUCGGGUUGUAAAGCACUUUCAGCGAGGAAGAACGCCUAGCGGUUAAUACCCGUUAGGAAAGACAUCACUCGCAGAAGAAGCACCGGCUAACUCCGUGCCAGCAGCCGCGGUAAUACGGAGGGUGCAAGCGUUAAUCGGAAUUACUGGGCGUAAAGCGCGCGUAGGUGGCUUGAUAAGCCGGUUGUGAAAGCCCCGGGCUCAACCUGGGAACGGCAUCCGGAACUGUCAGGCUAGAGUGCAGGAGAGGAAGGUAGAAUUCCCGGUGUAGCGGUGAAAUGCGUAGAGAUCGGGAGGAAUACCAGUGGCGAAGGCGGCCUUCUGGACUGACACUGACACUGAGGUGCGAAAGCGUGGGUAGCAAACAGGAUUAGAUACCCUGGUAGUCCACGCCGUAAACGAUGUCGACCAGCCGUUGGGUGCCUAGAGCACUUUGUGGCGAAGUUAACG
rnacentral:rRNA from 1 species